rnacentral:rRNA from 1 species
AUACGUAGGGUGCAAGCGUUGUCCGGAUUUAUUGGGUUUAAAGGGUGCGUAGGCGGGCUAUUAAGUCAGUGGUGAAAUCCAACAGCUCAACUGUUGAUGUGCCAUUGAUACUGGUAGCCUUGAGUACAGAUGAGGUAGGCGGAAUUGACAGUGUAGCGGUGAAAUGCAUAGAUAUUGUCAAGAACUCCGAUAGCGAAGGCAGCUUACUGGGCUGUAACUGACGCUGAUGCACGAAAGUGUGGGGAUCAAACAGGAUUAGAUACCCUGGUAGUCCACACUGUAAACGUUGAUGACUCGCUGUGUGCGAUAUACAGUACGCGGCUUAGAGCAAUCGUUAAGUCAUCCACCUGGGGAGUACGCCGGCAACGGUGAAACUCAAAAGGAAUUGACGGGGUCCGCACAAGCGGUGGAGCAUGUGGUUUAAUCGAUGAUACGCGAGGAACCUUACCUGGGCUAGAAUGCCCUUGAUGGGUCCAGAGAUGGAC